rnacentral:lncRNA from 1 species
UUUAAAUUUAAACUGAUAAAGAUUAAAUCAAGUUAAAAACUCAGUUCCUCAAGUGUUCAAUAACCCCCAUUGACUGGUGACAGCUCAAUUGAACAACACAGGUAGAGGACAUGUCCGUUAUCACAGAAAAUUCUACUGGGCAGGGCUGAAACAGAGGCUAGAUCGUAGUCCAACCUCGUCAUUUUAUAGAUGGGGAAACUGAGGCCCAAUGAGGCUAAGAAUCUUCCUCAUGGUCUCAGCUCCCAACAGUCACCCUGGCUCCUCCACGCGAGGAGAACUGGGGAAAGAGUUUGGACUUUUGAGACUGGAGGUUUCCUGAUCCACACAUUUUCCUUCCUCCUGUCCGCCUCCCCCCACUGAAAUGUCAGGUUCCAUGUCUGCUCGCCUCUGUCAGCGCCUGGCACAUGCUGGGAGCUCAAAUGGUUGCUGACUGGAUAAACGAAGACCAGGAAGGUGGACGGAGUCAUGCAGGGAGCAAGCAGAGAAGGGGCCACAGCAGGAAUCUUUCCAAAGGCGGGUGGAGGAGAAGCAGGAUGAAAAGGAGUGGACGGAGCUGCAGGAGGCAACCUGAGACAGAGAGAGAAAAGAGAGUUCCAGAAGGAAGGCUUCACCAUCUGCAGAAGUGCAAACGUCCCACACCUUGGUUUAUCUGUAAUGCUGGCCGCAUAGGCUGCUGUCUUGGAGACACCGUGGGAGUUUUGACAGCUGAUGGAAAAAUUACCGCACAAACCCCUCUCCGGAAGGGAGAAGUGGGACUGAUGAGCCUCAAGAUUUGAAGUCAGAGGAGAAGCCGUGAGCCAACCAUGAAGACUGAAUUCGAACCCAGCUGGCUGUCUCAGUGCUUCUCACACCAGGCCAGGCUGGUGGAAAAAGACCGGCACCUUCAGCCGGUUCCUGGAGGCCGAGUGACGGUCAGCUGACACAGUCGUUGCAACAAGCCCCUGCUCGAGGACAGCCCGGUCCUCUGAGUCCCUCUCCCCCCCCGCUCCUCCCCAGUGUCUGGCAUCACCCAGUCAGCCGUUAAAGGACAAAAUCCAAACUGUCUGUCCACUGGCAGCUCUCCUCCCUGCACCCCGCCCCCUCCCGGCACUGGCCUCCCUGGGGUCUUUCCGACAGUCUUCUCGCUGUUACCUUGAGUUCGAUUUUCUUUUUGCUCAGGAAGGAAGACAAUCAGCAUAACGGUUCCCUUGUGCUAAAUGUGACACCCGAGACAAGGCUACCAGCUACCAGCGCUGCCUGCACGCUCCCUGCUCCAUCCUGGAUUCCAGCAACGAUGACGAACAGCCUCAGGCCCCAGCCCAGCAUGCCUCCUCUGCCCCCAGAACAGAAGCAACAUGGGGCGGGGGAGAUCCCUUGGGCCCUGAUGUCGGAGGACCUGGACUCAAGCCUUGGCUUGGCCUCUUAUGAGUUGGCUGAGCAGGGGUAAUCUCUGGGCCUCAGUGUUCUCACCUAGGAAAUGGGGACGAUAAUCUCAUAUCUCAGACUCAAAUGAGAAAGUGCUUUGCACACAGGGGAGGGCUGUGCAAAUUUGGGAGUGGGAGCCAGGGGGCUAUUCUAGGACUGGAGGGGCCAAAGCCUUUGACUCUGUGUCAAGGAAGAAGCAGGUGCUGAGGACCGUGCCCACUCCAUCCUUCUUUAGUUUUCUGUAAAAAUAAAAGGGGGGGUGGUGGUUUCA